rnacentral:rRNA from 1 species
UCCCAGACUCCUACGGGAGGCAGCAGUGGGGAAUAUUGCACAAUGGGGGGAACCCUGAUGCAGCGACGCCGCGUGGGCGAGGAAGUAUUUCGGUAUGUAAAGCCCUAUCGGCAGGGAAGAAGAAAUGACGGUACCUGAAUAAGAAGCACCGGCUAAAUACGUGCCAGCAGCCGCGGUAAUACGUAGGGGGCAAGCGUUAUCCGGAUUUACUGGGUGUAAAGGGGGGGCAGACGGCAGCGCAAGCCAGGAGUGAAAGCCCGGGGCCCAACCCCGGGACUGCUCUUGGAACUGCGCGGCUGGAGUGCAGGAGGGGCAGGCGGAAUUCCUGGUGUAGCGGUGAAAUGCGUAGAUAUCAGGAGGAACACCGGUGGCGAAGGCGGCCUGCUGGACUGCGACUGACGUUGAGGCCCGAAAGCGUGGGGAGCAAACAGGAUUAGAUACCCGCGUAUG